rnacentral:rRNA from 1 species
ACUCCUACGGGAGGCAGCAGUAGGGAAUCUUUCCACAAUGGGCGCAAGCCUGAUGGAGCAACACCGCGUGAGUGAAGAAGGGUUUCGGCUCGUAAAGCUCUGUUGUUAAAGAAGAACACGUAUGAGAGUAACUGUUCAUACGUUGACGGUAUUUAACCAGAAAGUCACGGCUAACUACGUGCCAGCAGCCGCGGUAAUACGUAGGUGGCAAGCGUUAUCCGGAUUUAUUGGGCGUAAAGAGAGUGCAGGCGGUUUUCUAAGUCUGAUGUGAAAGCCUUCGGCUUAACCGGAGAAGUGCAUCGGAAACUGGAUAACUUGAGUGCAGAAGAGGGUAGUGGAACUCCAUGUGUAGCGGUGGAAUGCGUAGAUAUAUGGAAGAACACCAGUGGCGAAGCGGCUACCUGGUCUGCAACUGACGCUGAGACUCGAAAGCAUGGGUAGCGAACAGGAUUAGAUACCCUGGUAGGAUAGCC